rnacentral:rRNA from 1 species
CAGUCGCCGCGGGAAUACGAAGGGGGCUAGCGUUGCUCGGAAUCACUGGGCGUAAAGGGUGCGUAGGCGGGUCUUCAAGUCAGGGGUGAAAUCCUGGAGCUCAACUCCAGAACUGCCUUUGAUACUGAAGAUCUUGAGUUCGGGAGAGGUGAGUGGAACUGCGAGUGUAGAGGUGAAAUUCGUAGAUAUUCGCAAGAACACCAGUGGCGAAGGCGGCUCACUGGCCCGAUACUGACGCUGAGGCACGAAAGCGUGGGGAGCAAACAGGAUUAGAUACCCCCGUAGUCCCUGUCUCUUAUAC